CCUGGAAGGAAGCAGCUUACUGCAACCUUUGGCGCUGUUGGGGGAGCAGGAAAGAGGAGAAACUUGUAGU
rnacentral:SRP_RNA from 9 species